AAACUGUUGUCUGCUUUGUUUGUUUCCAUUUAUUUUAAUGAAUUUAUUCUUAAUAUUCUCAUUGCCUUAAGCCGAGCAGUUGAACAAACUUAUUUAACGGUGAAAGAUAUUUGGGGUGACCAAGUACAAAGCUCAAGAUGCAUGUAUUGUGUAUUUCCUCUUGUGGUGAAAGCUAAAGUAAAGUUUUGUAAGUCCUUACAAAUUUCUAGUUUUAUGGCUUUAAAUAAAAUGUUUAUUUAUACUGUGUUAUUUGCCUGGAUAACCAAUUGCUAAUAAUUGUAUGUUUAUGCUCUCAAGUGUAUCCUCAUAAUAUGUUGGUACCAGCACACAUAAACAAUCUUUCAUGUGUAUACUAGAAAGUGCUUAUUUUGCCAGUUUACAUGAUUAAUGUAAAUCCAUUUGGAAAGUGUGUUGAACACAUUUUAUAAAUAAAAAUCCAUAUGAUCAUCAAGACGAUGCUUGUUUGUGAUGAUUUAAUAGACUAUAGUAUGUUUCAUCUGACAGGAAAACAAGAGCAUUAAUGUUGCAUGAAUAACAAAAAGAAACAUGAUUAAAAAAUUAUAAAAAACAUGGAUAUUUCUGCGUAGUAUUUAUUUUACCCAUUGAGCUUAUCAUUCAAUUCAUUUUUAUUUUUUUAUUGAUAAGCUGAUCAUUUUCAAAAACCAUUAUAUUCUUCAACAUAAACGUUUUUUUAGCUUUGUAAUGUAUUGCUUGUUUGAACUUGGUGGAAGAUGGUCGUUUAAAUGGUUUCGGGACCCUGAAGCAAAACAAUGCCAGGUAAAUUACGUAUAUGUUAUUUAUUUUUGAGCUGGAAAACAAUCGUGCGUAAGUAUUUGUAGAACAUUUACUCUGACAUUGUUCUCAACAGCAACUUUUUAAAUAAAUGUUAACAUAACACACAGGGCAUCUGUCUUUCUACUUCUUAGAUUUUCUCCAUUUGCUGUAGGGUUCACAAAACAGAGUGAAUGGCGGCCUGUCUCCGUCGGAUUCCCAUUUCUCUAUGCUGAUGAGUUCUGACACAGUCGUCCUGGUAUUCACCCUCGAUUGGAUGUAAAGAGCUCGCUGGAUGACAGAUGUACAGUACACUACAUAUUGUGGCCAUGUACUGAUGUAAUAGAUAGAUGGGUGUGUUUUUAAAUGUCAGAUAAGAGAAAUGGGUGACAGAUCUUCUUGAAAUAGUUGCAAGGUAGGCGCUCAUGGAUCAUGUGCGGAAAGAAAGCGGACUGAUGCGUCGAGGGUGAAACCAAACACGCUCUAUCAGCUCAUCCAUUUAAUGCGACUUUGGAUUUAUAUUGUCUCUCUCAUCGACGUGGUUAUUAAAUUAGUGUUUGCAGCAGAGAAGGUGAAAGGAAUUUGGAGACACGAGCGUUUAUGUUGGUGUUUGAUGUUAGUAUUUUGUUUUCGUUUUUUGACAUGUUACAACAAUGUUCUUAGUGAGAUGAAUACAUCUAGGAAAAGGGGCCUUUGGAAAAACAACACAUAUCGAACGAAUGACAAGAGUGUAAUGUUUAAAUGUUUACGUAUCAAGGGUUAUGACCAGCCCCUUCUAAAUUAUAUGUUUUUGCUCUGACUUCAAUUCUGAGAGCAGCGGAAGAAUACUUAUAUAGCCCUUGAACACCUGCAGUAAAGAUGUAUCCGUGUGACCUUUAGGUAUAUUUAUAUCAUUUAGUAUACCAACAAAUGUGUUUCGAGGGGUGAAUGCGAAAAGGUUCUAAGUGACAUUAAAUAAAGAAGAAGAAGAAGAACCUUUACGCUUUCACCCCUCGACAUGUAUCCAUCCAAAUAACUAGAAGCAUGACAGUGAUCAGUCUCGUAUUUAUCACAAAUGUGUUUUACAUGUAUAUGUCCAAUAAACUAGAA